UGCCAGACUCCUACGGGAGGCAGCAGUGGGGAAUAUUGCACAAUGGGGGAAACCCUGAUGCAGCGACGCCGCGUGAGUGAAGAAGCGCCUCGGCGCGUAAAGCUCUGUCAGCAGGAACGAUAAUGACGGUACCUGAAGAAGAAGCCCCGGCUAACUACGUGCCAGCAGCCGCGGUAAUACGUAGGGGGCAAGCGUUAUCCGGAUUUAUUGGGUUUAAAGGGUGCGUAGGCGGACAGUCAAGUCAGCGGUAAAAAUGCGGUGCUCAACGCCGUACAGCCGUUGAAACUGGCAGUCUUGAGUGGGCGAGAAGUAUGCGGAAUGCGUGGUGUAGCGGUGAAAUGCAUAGAUAUCACGCAGAACUCCGAUUGCGAAGGCAGCAUACCGGCGCCCGACUGACGCUGAGGCACGAAAGCGUGGGUAUCGAACAGGAUUAGAUACCCGCGUAUAG
rnacentral:rRNA from 1 species